GUGUGUAAAUUUAUUCCAAAAAGCCUUCCUGAACAACUAUAUUCACCCAAUAAAAUGCCAGAAAAUAGAUAUGAGGGUAUAUAUAUAUAAUAUAUAGAUAUACAUAUAAAGUCUUUUACGCCGUUACUAUGCACAACCACAGCCAUCAAUGCUUGCAGGUGAUGUGAUGGAUGAUCUGAGCCACGUAAGGAUGGUAUGGAUGACAGCCACACCUAUAGCAAAUACUGACACUGAGAAACUGGUAGCUCUCUCAGAAUAAAACGGGACAUAAUUAACACUGAGAAACUGGUAGCUCUCUCAGAAUAAAAAGGGAUAUUAUUAACACUGAGAAACUGGUAGCUCUCUCAGAAUAAUGAAGGAAAGAGUAAGUUUGACCCUGAUUGCAAGAACUGACAUUACUAACCUAACUUGUAGCUCUCAAAAAAAAAAAAAAAAAAAUAGAAUGCUCUGAGAAUCAUGUCGAGGAAGGGAACACCGAGACAGACAAGCAGAGGUUUAACACACACACACACACACACACACACACACACACACACACACACACACACACUGCCCCUUUGACCCCACCCAUUUGACCUCUCCACCCAAAACUGACCUCUUUUCACACACACACCGCCACUUUGACCCCACCCUUUUGACCCCUCCACACAAAAUUGACCUCUUCACACACACUGACCCUCUGACCUCUUCACCCAAAAUUGACCUCUUCUGACCUAUCAUUUUGUUUUGAGCAGCUUCUGAUGACCUAUUUUGUUGCCGUUCUUGUUUUUUGCUCACACACACACACACACACACUAGCAAUACUCAGGGUUCAAAAGAUUCCAUUGUUACAAGCUACACAUUAACAUUCGCCAAGAUGGAGUGACCAACAAGCACACAUACAGUCACCAAUGAGUAAUACAGUCCAGGUAAUAUUGUCAUUGUUACAUAUUCUCACAUAUAUUACAUUUUCCAAUCAACUGGAUAUACGUAUUUUCCCUUUCAUGCAUAAUAAGGGUACGAAAUUUCUGCCCCAGCCUUCCAGUAUAUAAUUAUUUUCACAUUUAUCAUAUUUUUUAAUCAAUUGGAUGUACGGAAUUUCUCUUCGUGUAUAAUAAGCAUACGAGAUUUCCGCCCCAACCUUCCAGUAUAUAACUAUUUUCACAUUCAUUAUAUUUUAGAAUCAACGGCAUAUGUGUUUUUCCCCUCCAUGCGUUAGGCUGAGAGAUUUCCGCUCCAGCCUUCCAGUGUAUUUGUUUCAGUGUAUUUUAUUUCUGCUCCAACCUUCCAGUGAAUAAAUAUGAAAUGAAUCUACCAGUAUUAUGCCUCAAGGUAUUAUGAGUUAAGUACGUCCAUUAACAUUUUCAUCCAGUCCUAUGUGUUAGGUGAACCACAACAUAGCACGGGCCUUAAGAUGAAUAUAUAUAACAAUAGCAAUAUGAAAAACUGGGAGUACCUUUUGGCACUUUCUGCAUACCCGGACAUAUGAUUUGCAAUGCCCAGAAACACAUCAUCAGCUGGCAUAAAGAAUUAACCUGGAUAUAUGAUUUAACCCGUCCACUGCGAUUGGCAUGGAUUUGGCCUUCACUGGUAGCCUGGUAACAUACAGUCCCAGGUCUUUCUCUGCCUCUGUGGUGGAUAGUGGAGUGUUUCCCAUGUGGUAUUGGUAUGCUGGAUUUCCCCUCCCAAGCUGCAGGACUUUACAUUUUUCUUCAUUGAAUUGUAGCAGCCACUUUUUGUUCCAUUCUUAUAGCUUGGUGAGGUCUUCUUGUAGGAAAUCCACACUCAAGGGGUUAAAAUGCCUCAAAAUACAUGAUUGACUGUCAUAAAAAACUAACCUGACUGCAUGACUUAAAUUGCCGUGAAAUACAUGGUUUAAAUUGUCAUGAAAAGGCGACUUGCUGGCCUGUUCAUGAUGGCACGGUAUAGAUAACAAGCUGUCAUAAAAAGGUUAACUUGGAUACAUGCUUUAAAAUGUCUUGAAAUACAUUGCCGUUAUAAAAGGCGACUGGCUGGGCUGUUCAUAAUGGACCACAAGCCACAGCAACAAGUGCCAGGACCUUGAUCAAGCUUAUUCAGGAAGACAUUGGCAGCAACACAUAGUUUGGUGGUAGUCAACACACAGCACAGUCAUACCUCGCUUUACGAGCUUAAUUUGUUCCAGAAUUUCACUCACAAACCCAAAAACUUUGUAAACCAAAAAACUUGUAAACCAAAACAAACGCACACUGUAGAUUUGAAAACAAAGAUCGCACACUAGAGCACAAAUGUAAGCGGACACAAGCAUGCGGGUGCCACCUCUGCGAGUGUACAACGCAGACUGAGACCCCAUUCCCAUUGUUUUCCGCUCUGAGCGCUCUCGUCUUGCGGCGAACAAAGGGAACCCACGUACAAACAGGAUGCUUGUACACAAAGUCACCGCUCAUAAACCAAAGCAUUUUUUUUGGCUCGUAAAUCGAAACACUCGUAAAGUAAGGCACUCGUAAACCGAGGUAUUACUGUGGUACCAUUAUAUAAAGAUUGACACAGUUAGUUCUUAUUUAACAAUAUAUAUGUGGCAGAUUAGUACAAGAUCUUCAAUGACACACCCAAUGCUAUGAACAAGUCACCCUCACCGUCGAAAAAUGACAGGCAGUUAGUUUACAAAGGCGGUGAUAUACUGAAAUUGAGUUAGUUCUUGUUUGGUAGUAUAUAUGUGGCAGAUUAGUACAAGAUCUUCAAUGACACACCCAAUGCUAUGAACAAGUCACCCUCACCGUCGAAAAAUGACAGGCAGUUGGUUUACAUAGGCGAUGAUAUACUGAAAUUGAGUUAGUUCUUGUUUGGUAGUAUAUAUGUGGUAGAUUAGUACAAGAUCUUCAAUGACACACCCAAUGCUAUGAACAAGUCACCCUCACCGUCGAAAAAUGACAAGCAGUUCGUUUACGUAGGUGAUCAAAUAUAAAAAUUGACAGUUAGUUCUUAUUUGGUAGUAUAUAUGUGGCAGAUUAGUACAAGAUCUUCAAUGACACACCCAAGACCAUGAACAAGAGUCACCCUCACCACCGAUAAAUGACAGGCAGUUAGUUCACGAGGGCAACGAUACAUUAAAAUUGACACAGUAGUAUGACGGAUUAGUACGAGAUCUGUUACGAUACAUCCAAUACAAUAUACAUGAGUUACCUUCAGCCCUAAACCCUAUUGAUUGAGAAAAGAGAACACCAUACGUAAGACCUUGACAUUGUUCCCAAACCCGUGAUAGCUGAGAAAAAGAUAUCUCAGUGGCCCCUCGCACACACGCCCUUAAGGUAAAGUUGGGGCGUACACUAUAGCUGCUCAUGGCCUUAGUGCUUAUCUCUGUAUCAUUGGCCCUUGGGUGAUGAACGAGAACCUAUUACCCAUUACAUGAGAAAAGAUUGGCUAUAAGAAGAUGGGCUAUAGAUGAACAAGAUGAAGAAGAAGAAGAAGAUUAAAUAAGAAAAGACUGAGUAUAAUAAGGUGGGCUAUAGAUGAAGAAGAAGAUUAUAUAAGAAAAGACUGACUAUAAGAAGACAGGCUAUUGAUGAAGAAGAAGAAAGAAGAAGGUUAUAUGAGAAAAGAUCGGCUAUGUAGAAGAUGGGCCAUUGACAAAGAAGAAAGAAGAUUGUAUAUGAGAAAAGACACAUACGUAUAUCUGAGGCUAUAUCAAAUGCCUUACCCUUCAAGACACCUUCAAGAAACCUAACUUAGCCAGAAAAAUAAGUUACGGUAUUGCACUUCAUAAGAAAAUAACAAAAUCCCUUGACCAAAUGCAUUACCCUUUUAAGUAAGUAACAGGUGACAUUAAAAUACAUGAGAAAAUAAUAAAAUCCCUUAACCAAAUGCAUUACCCUUUUAAGUAAGUAACAGGUGACAUUAAAAUACAUGAGAAAAUAAUAAAAUCCCUUGACCAAAUGCAUUACCCUUUUAAGUAAGUAACAGGUGACAUUGAAAUACAUGAGAAAAUAAUAAAAUCCCUUAACCAAAUGCAUUACCCUUUUAAGUAAGUAACAGGUGACAUUAAAAUACAUGAGAAAAUAAUAAAAUCUCUACAACAUAUGCAUUGCCCUUCCAAGUAUCUCAUGCAGAAAAAUAAGUUAUAGAUAUUCAUUAAAUGAUAAAACAGUUACGUCCCUCCACCAAUGCAUUACCCUUUGAA